rnacentral:rRNA from 1 species
CAUGUCUUUUUGAAUUUAAUUUAAAGUCAAAUCUGCUCCAUGAAAUUAUUUUAAAUAGCUGCAGUAUUUUGACUGUACAAAGGUAGCAUAAUCAAUAGUUUUUUAAUUGAAAGCUGGAAUGAAAGAUUUAAUAAGGUAAAUAUUGUCUCAAUUUUAAAAAAAUUAAAAAUUUUUUUAUAGUUAAAAUACUAUAUUGAAUUUAAAAGACGAGAAGACCCUAUAGAAUUUUAUAAUUUUUUAUUUAAUAAAAAUUUAUUUUUUAAUUUUUUAUUAAUAAAAAAUUAUUUGGUUGGGGAAAUUAUUAAAUUUAAAAAAUUUUAAUUAUUAAAAACCAAUAAUUAUUGAUUAUUUGAUCUUAAUUUUUAAAUUAUUAGAUUAAAUUACCUUAGGGAUAACAGCGUAAUUUUUUUCGGAGAGUUCAUAUUAAUGAAAAAGUUUGCGACCUCGAUGUUGAAUUAAGAUAAAAUUUUAAUGAAGAAGUUAAAAAUUUUUGGUCUGUUCGACCAUUAAAAUCUUACGUGAUC